CGGCGUUGCUUAAUACAUGCAAGUCGAGCGAACAGAAAAGGAGCUUGCUCCUUUGACGUUAGCGGCGCGACGGGUGAGUAACACGUGGGCAACCUACCCUAUAGUUUGGGAUAACUCCGGGAAACCGGGGCUAAUACCGAAUAAUCUCUUUUGCUUCAUGGUGAAAGACUGAAAGACGGUUUCGGCUGUCGCUAUAGGAUGGGCCCGCGGCGCAUUAGCUAGUUGGUGAGGUAACGGCUCACCAAGGCGACGAUGCGUAGCCGACCUGAGAGGGUGAUCGGCCACACUGGGACUGAGACACGGCCCAGACUCCUACGGGAGGCAGCAGUAGGGAAUCUUCCACAAUGGGCGAAAGCCUGAUGGAGCAACGCCGCGUGAGUGAAGAAGGUUUUCGGAUCGUAAAACUCUGUUGUAAGGGAAGAACAAGUACAGUAGUAACUGGCUGUACCUUGACGGUACCUUAUUAGAAAGCCACGGCUAACUACGUGCCAGCAGCCGCGGUAAUACGUAGGUGGCAAGCGUUGUCCGGAAUUAUUGGGCGUAAAGCGCGCGCAGGCGGUCCUUUAAGUCUGAUGUGAAAGCCCACGGCUCAACCGUGGAGGGUCAUUGGAAACUGGGGGACUUGAGUGCAGAAGAGGAAAGUGGAAUUCCAAGUGUAGCGGUGAAAUGCGUAGAGAUUUGGAGGAACACCAGUGGCGAAGGCGACUUUCUGGUCUGUAACUGACGCUGAGGCGCGAAAGCGUGGGGAGCAAACAGGAUUAGAUACCCUGGUAGUCCACGCCGUAAACGAUGAGUGCUAAGUGUUAGGGGGUUUCCGCCCCUUAGUGCUGCAGCUAACGCAUUAAGCACUCCGCCUGGGGAGUACGGUCGCCAGGACUGAAACUCAAAGGAAUUGACGGGGGGCCCGCACAAGCUGUGGAGCAUGUGGCUUAAUUCGAAGCAUCGCGAAUAAUCUUUACCAGGUCUUGACAUCCCGUGACACCUGUAGAGAUUAUAGGUUCCCUUCCGGGGAGCAACGGGACCAGGUGGUUGCAUGG
rnacentral:rRNA from 1 species